rnacentral:lncRNA from 1 species
AUGGCUUCAAAACAGGACCCAAAGCCUAAAUUCCAGGAGGUUGAGUGAGUGCUGUGCUUUCAUGGGCCUCUUCUUCAUGAAACAAAGUGUGUAAAGGUUGCCAUUAAGGACAAACAAGUGAAAUACUUUAUACAUUACAGUGGUUGGAAUAAAAAUUGGGAUGAGUGGGUUCCAGAGAGCAGAGUACUCAAAUACAAGGACACUAAUUUGCAGAAAGAAUAAGAACUUCAAAAAGCCAAUCAGGAGCAGUAUGCAGAGGGGAAGACGAUAGGGGCUGCCCCAGGAAAGAAGACAUCUGGUCUCCAACAGAAAAAUGUUGAAGUGAAAACAAAAAAGAACAAACAGAAAACCCCUGGAAAUGGAGAUGGUGGCAGUACCAGUGAGACUCCUUGGCCUCCUCGGAAGAAAAGGACCCGGGUAGAUCCUACUGUUGAAAAUGAGGAAACAUUCAUGAACAGAGUUGAAGUUAAAGUAAAGCUUCCUGAAGAGCUAAAACUGUGGCUUGUUGAUGACUGGGACUUAAUUACCAGACGAAAACAGCUCUUUUAACUUCCUGCCAAGAAGAAAUGUGGAUUCCAUUCUUGAGGAUUACGCAAAUUACAAGAAAUCUGGUGGAAACACAGAUAAUAAGGAGUAUGCGGUUAAUGAAGUUGUGGCAGGGAUAAAAGAAUACUUCAACGUAAUGUUGGGCACCCAACUACUCUACAAAUUUGAGAGACCACAGUAUGCCGAAAUUCUUGCAGAUCACCCCAAGGCACCCAUGUCCCAGGUGUAUGGAGUGCCACAUCUCCUGAGAUUACUUGUACGAAUUGGAGCAAUGUUGGCCUAUACACCUCUGGAUGAGAAGAGCCUUGCUUAAUUACUGAAUUAUCUUCAUGAUUUCCUGAAGUACCUGGCAAAGAAUUCUACAACUUUGUUUAGUGCCAGAGAUUAUGAAGUGGCUCCUCCUG